rnacentral:sRNA from 2 species
UUAGUAGUAUCGACCUCUGCUUUUACCCAUAAAUUAUCUUUAUAUAUAGUCAUCUUCUACCCCAAAUCAAUCUCUAUUAUAUUCUUUCUUCUACCAUUGAUUUUGCUAGAUCUCUCCAUGUCGUUGCCAGGUAUUGCUAGAUAUUCAUAUCAUCAAUAGAUACCAUUGCCAGAUAUCAUUCAAUCUUGAUAUCAGACAUAAACAAGCAGGUAGAUGAGUAAAUGAGUGAGAGAAAGCAAUCUGUAUAUCUCACUAGUAUUCGUACAGAAUCUCGAUAUAAAAAGCUUUCAACAUCAUCUAUUAAAGUCUUUGUGACAGAUUGAUAGUAUAAAAUAAAUAUAGGG